CAGGCCUAACACAUGCAAGUCGAACGGUGGCAGCAAUGCCAUAGUGGCGCACGGGUGCGUAACACGUAGCUAACCUACCCAGAACUGGGGGAUAGCCCGCCGAAAGGCGGAUUAACACCGCAUAACAUCUACUGGUGGCAUCACUAGUUGAUUAAAUCUACGGAGGUUCUGGAUGGGGCUGCGGGUCAUUAGCUAGUUGGUAAGGUAACGGCUUACCAAGGCGACGAUGACUAGGGGAGCUGAGAGGCUGGUCCCCCACACGGGCACUGAGAUACGGGCCCGACUCCUACGGGAGGCAGCAGUAGGGAAUAUUGGGCAAUGGGCGAGAGCCUGACCCAGCCAUGCCGCGUGCAGGAAGAAGGCUUUCUGAGUCGUAAACUGCUUUUGAUAGGGAAGAAUAAGCACUACGUGUAGUGUGAUGACGGUACCUACAGAAUAAGCACCGGCUAACUCCGUGCCAGCAGCCGCGGUAAU
rnacentral:rRNA from 1 species